AAGUCGUAACAAGGUUUCCGUAGGUGAACCUGCGGAAGGAUCAUUAUUGAAAUAAACCUGAUGGGUUGUUGCUGGUUCUCUAGGGAGCAUGUGCACGCCUUGUCAUCUUUAUAUCUCCACCUGUGCACCUUUUGUAGACCUUUCAGGUCUAUGUUUGCUUCAUUUACCCCAUUGUAUGUUAAUAGAAUGUUGUGCCUAUAUAAUAUAUACAACUUUCAGCAACGGAUCUCUUGGCUCUC
rnacentral:misc_RNA from 1 species